UAAUCACUAAAGUAUAUCUUUUCAUGUUACUCCAGCAAUGGAGUUGCACAACAUUCUGAAUGGAGACAUAUGAAAUAUGAUUUGUGGAGCCUGAAACAUUCCACAACACCCAUUCUGAU